rnacentral:lncRNA from 1 species
CCCGGUGCAAUCUCUUUGAAAAUUGUAUUUUCCUUUUUUAAACAAGACGAAACAAGUCUACAGAUUAUGUUUGCUAACAUCCCGUUGGAAACAAAAACAAUGUUUAGACCUAGUAUUUCAUACAUCCGGCCGUAAGGGCGUGAUCACAUGUUAGUCACAUGUUUCACGUAUGACCGGAAAUGAUUAGAACUUAACGACAAAAACAAUUUUAAUAAAAAAAAGGAAAUAACUGGACUUCUGUUUCGUUUGAAAUGUAACGCAUAACGAUAACGUCAUUUUCUAACUUAAUUAUUACGAAGAACAAAACUAGAAUGUAAAUCAUCUC